GCUCAGUUACACUGAGACAGUGUAAUUUAAGUCUGGGAGGAGAUUUACUGAUAUAAUUUAUUUUAUUCUUAUGUAAAAAAGGAAUUUCAAAUAAAUUAUGCUUAGCUGUUGAAAAUUGGGACUAUAAUCCUAUAUUGAUUUAAACAUGAAUAUCUAAGCAAUCUUUAGCACCAUUUUAGAUUUACUGAUUGCAGAUAGCACUAAAGAUGCUAAAGCGGAUCAACCUAUCAACUACACACUUACGUUGAACCGUAUGAAGUAACCAAAGCUGAUUUCCAACACUAAACCUGACAUAACCGCUUGUCUUGGGGCUUGGUAUACAUGGGAUCGGAUUCUUCAGACAAGUCUUAAAGGUAACGCCUGGUUUAGAUUAUUUAUCACAUUUUCUCUCUCUAGAUUUCGACCCUAGAUUAGUUAGUGAGUAUAUAAAAUAAAAAAUAAAAAAAAAAUAUAUAAAUAAGAUCUAUUGUUUAAUUAGGAUGAGUCUGAACAGGACUUGGUGGCUAAAACCAUUAAGGCUUGAUUCAUAAAGACUCAAAUAAAAGAGUUCGAAACGGGACUUGGGGGCGGCAAUCUUCAAGGCUCGCUUUCGCAAAGAACUCUUGGAUAUAGGUCAAAAAGAAGUGAACAGAACUUGGUGGCAACCACCAUUAAGUUUUGAUUCAUGGAAGCCUGUCCAAUCUUGGUCACUGAUCCUGCAAUGGAAGCAGACUUUGACUCAAGAGAGAAAUUUAGAGAGAAAAACUAGGAACUAACUUUUACCUUCAGCUCCAGAUACCUGUCUGAAAUCCUUGCAUCCUGUGAUCGAUACUCC
rnacentral:lncRNA from 1 species